UAUAUAUAUAUAUAUGUGUGUGUGUGUGUGUGUGUGUCAUGGCGUGAUGGAUUCAAAAGAGGCAUAUACCAUUGAUGAAGUACCUCGGCGCUCACAGUAGAUCUGUCUUUAAAGGUUUAUAAGCUAUUGUUGAAAAUUAACCCUUGUGCGACCUUCGGGACAUUUUUUAUUUUUUCAGUGUUAAUGCCAACGGGAUACAUUUUGCCAAAGGUGUGUAUUUUGGUUGGAAUAUUGAUAUUUCCUUCAGUUCCUAUAACACCUCUAUAACACCUCUAUAACACUGUGUUCACACAAUAGUCACGCUCAACACCUUCAGAACAAAAAUGUCCCAUUGAAAACAACUGCAAUAUUUGAUCCCAACGCCAAUAAAGUAUAAAAUCAUGAAUUCUAUGAUAUAAUACUUUCUUUCCGGAGUCCUGAGUUCAACAUAUAAAUGUUUAGUAUUUUCCACCAGAUGGCGCCAUUUCACUCAUGUUUAUCCUGUGGUGUUGGUGUAGUGGUCUAACCACAUAACUGGUAACUGUAAUCAGCAGGUCACUGGUUCGAUCCCCACAGUCACCACCAUUGUGUCCUUGAGUAAGACACUUAACUCCAGGUUGCUCCGGGGGGAUUGUCCCUGUAAUAAGUGCUCUGUAUAAUACAUUGGUACUCAGAAGGUUGCUGGUUUGAUCCCCACAGUCACCACCAUUGUGUCCUUGAGUAAGACACUUAACUCCAGGUUGUUCCGGGGGGGAUUGUCCCUGUAAUAAGUGCUCUGUAUAAUACAUUGGUACUCAGAAGGUUGCUGGUUCGAUCCCCACAGUCACCACCAUUGUGUCCUUGAGUAAGACACUUAACUCCAGGUUGUUCCGGGGGGGAUUGUCCCUGUAAUAAGUGCUCUGUAUAAUACAUUGGUACUCAGAAGGUUGCUGGUUCGAUCCCCACAGUCACCACCAUUGUGUCCUUGAGUAAGACACUUAACUCCAGGUUGCUCCGGGGGGAUUGUCCCUGUAAUAAGUGCUCUGUAUAAUACAUUGGUACUCAGAAGGUUGCUGGUUCGAUCCCCACAGUCACCACCAUUGUGUCCUUGAGUAAGACACUUAACCCCAGUUGCUCCGGGGGAUUGAUAAAUUAAGUUUCUGCUCAGAAAUGACUAUGUGCUGACUGGACUGGAUGCUUUUUGAUGCAAUUUCCUCUUUGGUUAUUGUCGGGCUCUACAAGGAAAUCAAAUCAAUUUUAAAGUUCAGUUGAUGUGAUUUCACUUCUGUCAAUCAGUGGUGAUUUCCGAUCCAAUUUCCUGUUGAAAAUGAGGUCUUGUGUCCAAACAGGGUGAUCGUAACAUUUGUAUCGAGAACUGAAAUUAUUAGUCACAAAUGUUUCCAGGGUAAAACUGAGAGCUGGAAAAAACACGUUGAUUCUCUGGAAACUUCCUCAUAUGCCGGCGGUCUCUGAGGACACAACAUUCACUAAAUGCAGAUGUGGUUUCAAUCAAAAGGGACUUCACGUUCACAAGUCCAGUGCUAAUGAAAGUAUGCCAAAUCAAAAGCAAUAAAACCACUCUGUGGAGCUCAUUCGCAUGAUGCUUAAUUCUCUCCUCGAAGGAGCAAAAGACAAAAUGAGCCGAUUCCCCAAACAUAAACACACUGUAAGAACACCUGUGGAGCAUCUGGAAUAUGUACAGCAACAUUUCCCAAGAGAAUCAUUCAAAUCCAAAAUACAUCAGAGAAUUUAAACAGAGAUC